rnacentral:rRNA from 1 species
GACGGAGGAUGCAAGUGUUAUCCGGAAUCACUGGGCGUAAAGCGUCUGUAGGUGGUUCGAAAAGUCCACUGUUAAAAAUUGAGGCUUAACUUCAAAGAUGCCGUGGAAACUUUCAAACUAGAGUACGGUAGAGGCAGAGGGAAUUCCAUGUGGAGCGGUGAAAUGCGUAGAGAUAUGGAGGAACACCAGUGGCGAAGGCGCUCUGCUGGGCCGAAACUGACACUGAGAGACGAAAGCUGGGGGAGCAAAUAGG